GACGAACGCUGGCGGCGUGCUUAACACAUGCAAGUCGAACGGAAAGGCCCCUUCGGGGGUCCUCGAGUGGCGAACGGGUGAGUAACACGUGAGUAACCUGCCCUUGACUUCGGGAUAACUUCAGGAAACUGGGGCUAAUACCGGAUAGGAAUCCUUGCUGCAUGGUGGGGGUUGGAAAGCUUCGGCGGUUUUGGAUGGACUCGCGGCUUAUCGGCUUGUUGGUGGGGUAGUGGCUUACCAAGGCUUUGACGGGUAGCCGGCCUGAGAGGGCGACCGGCCACAUUGGGACUGAGAUACGGCCCAGACUCCUACGGGAGGCAGCAGUGGGGAAUAUUGCACAAUGGGCGGAAGCCUGAUGCAGCAACGCCGCGGGCGGGAUGACGGCCUUCGGGUUGUAAACCGCUUUCAGCAGGGGCGAAGCUUGUGGUGACGGUACCUGCAGAAGAAGCACCGGCUAACUACGUG
rnacentral:rRNA from 1 species